rnacentral:rRNA from 2 species
GGGAGGCAGCAGUGGGGAAUAUUGCACAAUGGGCGCAAGCCUGAUGCAGCCAUGCCGCGUGUGUGAAGAAGGCCUUCGGGUUGUAAAGCACUUUCAGCGGGGAGGAAGGCGUUAAGGUUAAUAACCUUGGCGAUUGACGUUACCCGCAGAAGAAGCACCGGCUAACUCCGUGCCAGCAGCCGCGGUAAUACGGAGGGUGCAAGCGUUAAUCGGAAUUACUGGGCGUAAAGCGCACGCAGGCGGUCUGUCAAGUCGGA